GAUAUUUGUAACGUUUAAUAUGUCUUAUUUUCUCUUAUUUUGUCUAAUAUAUUGGGUAAUACGAGUGUAAUGGUGACUAAAGGGUGUUAUUUCAUGUCUAGAGGGCUCUAAUAAUGUUAAAAAACGUAUUUACAAGGUCGUAAACAGGUUUUCUAUGCUCUAACUGUGAAAAUAUUCGAUUUAUAAAUAAAGAAUCCUACUUCACGGAAAUUCA